rnacentral:rRNA from 1 species
UACGAAGGGGGCUAGCGUUGCUCGGAAUCACUGGGCGUAAAGCGCACGUAGGCGGACUUUUAAGUCGGAGGUGAAAUCCUGGAGCUCAACUCCAGAACUGCCUUCGAUACUGAGAGUCUUCGAGUUCGGGAGAGGUGAGUGGAACUGCGAGUGUAGAGGUGAAAUUCGUAGAUAUUAGGAAGAACACCGGUGGCGAAGGCGGCCCACUGGAUCGGUACUGACGCUGAGGUGCGAAAGCGUGGGGAGCAAACAGG